GCCACCCUCCACACACUGGCUGUUGAUUCUGCUGAUCGUUCCCUCUUGGUGGCAGGUGGAUACCUCCACUCCAGACAUAAUAAUCCUGUUCAAAGCAGAAAAACAAAAAACAAACAAACCAAAACUUAUCCAGAAGUCCAUCACGGCUAGCUCUUUUUACUCCACUGGUCAAAACUGGGUGGCAUUUCCCCUCUAACUGCAAGCAAGGCUAGAAAAUUGAACGUGCGUCAUAGAGGAACAGGGACUAGGCACAUGGCUGGCCUGAAAUAAAAUGAAGGUGUGGUAGGUUAAAAAGAGAAGUUCUGCUGGGCAUGAAAUACCAGUGGUCACAGAAGCGGGAGAUGACGGCCCAGGGUACAAGAAAUGGAGGUUAUAGAGCUUGGUAACAGAACGUGGGGAAUGAGGGACCAGAGAAGUCAUGGGUUAGGGUACAUUCACUAAGACAAAGGACAUGGGAAAAGCCACAGGGAUGGGGAAGAUAGAGUCACUUUUAGAAUUCAGGUGUCUGUAUGGUGUCACUGUGGAGUCCAGAUGUCUGCAUGUAUCCAAAGACUAACACCAAGAACAGAGGUGAGUGAUGGCCUUGGAGUGCGGAAUAAGAACUUGAGCAUCGUGGGAGCCACAGGGUGUGUGAAUUUGUUAAAGAAGGUGCUUGUGGCUGUACAGGGAGGUGUGCAACUCGGCUAAGGCUGGAGAGAGAAAUCGCACACUCUUGGUCAAGCAGCAGGAGGCGUGGAUACCUGAGAUGUGAGAGCGUGCUGUGCUCGGCUGAGAAGGUGGCUCUCCCUCCGCCCCAGGUCCGUGCUUGUUUUUCUUCUGUAGAUGAGACAUACUUGGAAACAUCAUUUCCCUGUAUCUUCAUGACCAUCCUUUGAAGCAGGUGUAUUAUUGCCUCUGUUAGAGAUGAAAGAAACAGGGGCCUGAAAGUGAUCCGUCCUCACUCCAGAGAGGAACGGCAUUUGGGUAGGCUGUGUGCCAGGGCCAAGGAUGCUCCGUCCCUCCUAGCUUUUGAUCUGUGGCCACAGGCAGCAGGGAGAGCUCUUCAGAUAGCUGUGAACUUCCUUCUUCCUGCUUUCUUGGGACCACUAAGACUGAUAAUUGUCUCUUCCUUGAAGCAGCUCCUUGACGGUCAGCAGGAACUAUGUGUUGUUUCACUUCCUAGCAAUUCUUUAUCCGUGGAUGGAGUUACCGCUCUGCGGAGCUCAUAGGUUAUGGAAGAUGAUUUCCGGGAGUCCUUGUCCGAUGAUAAAGGUCCUUCAAAGUUAAAUACUCUGAUCCCAGCCUUGCAACUGAGUGGCCCCCCACACCGCCAUCCCGUGUGACAUCAAUCCUAAGAGCAACCUGAACAAGUCUCAUCUAGGCCUCCUCAACCUGGCCUGUGUUCUAUCCCGCGGCCUGAAGACAGUCAGAGUCUUCUCCAUCUGCUCUGACAGCUGCGGGAAUUUCCUGUGUAAGCCUGGAGACGACAUCUGAUGAGACACCUGAUGACCUCGUCCACUCCAUGUAUCUGCAGGAGAAUGAGGCUCUGAGGAAGUCCGUGCACUCCCCCUACCCCUUUCCUGGCAGCCUGAGGAAGGGUAGAGAGGAAAGUGAGCUCUGUCUGCUUCCCUGAACUUGCUCCUUCCAGGGCGGGAAUGGGGUAGUCCUCCUGUGUGCUUCACUGCCCUGCAGGAAGCUAGGUCUGGACAGACUAGAGGGGAUAACUCAUGAACCCACAACAGCUUCAUUUCCCACAUGUAUGAGCUUCCCAGACGGGGGUUCGUGGUCAGAGUUACAGUUCUAGGCUUGUGGUGAAGCAGGCCUUGAAUCGGAUCAGAAAGAAAACAGUCGUUACCCCCAUACCAUUCACGCCACCACUACUACCGUGGGCACACUGCCAAGCCAGUCAUUACUGCGGCUUUCGGGGUUCACAACUGGGCAGCACGGAUUUUUCCCCCCUCCCACUCCAGCAGUCCACGGAACACCUUCCAUUGGUAUGAAAAGUUAACCAGUGGAGAGGAAGCUUCGUGGUCGGUACCUAAUUGAUGUCUCCAUGUCCUCUGUCAAGGUAUGUGGAGUCGUCAGCAACAGCGUCUUUCUAUCCCGUCCUGGUGGACAGCCAAGAGCAACGGCAGUGCCUAUAUUGUUUGGGGAUUCUGUGGGACAGAUGCCCUGACUAACAAUUUGAAGGGAAGUAUCCCACACCGGGCACCCGGCUGUUUGUCAGCCUAUGGCUGUGGGAGGAACAUUAGUCUCCGGGUAGAGUAAUUCCAACUAAACUCUUCGGGGCCAGGCAGAAAGCAGUUAGAUAUUUGGGGGUGCUGCCCCCAGAAGAGAUCAACAUAGUAUUCCUGGGACUCCAGUUAGUUCCUGAGAGAGUGAGUGAUUGGGAAAAACAAGACUGCUCCUCUUUGCCAUCUGACUUUUUGUCUAUCACGUGCUCUCUCCAUCUCACAGGUGCCCUCUAUGAUGUGACACAGACAGGGGACCCUCAUUAGGGCUGACUUUCAGCCUCUGAUACUGUAAGCUAAGCAAUCCUCUUUACAAAGCACCCCAGCCUCAGGUAUGUUGUUACAACAACAGAAAGCCAGUUAAUACAUUCUGUUGCUUCUGUAUCCCUGCUCAGGCUUCUCUCUCUUCCAGGUCUAAUUUACUGCACAUCUCUCUUAGCAUCCAGCAGAGUAGACUCUCACUGAACGUGUGAUGAGUGACUGAACAUGUAAUAACACGGAAUGAAUGUUGGACUUAGAGUGUCGGAAGUGAUCUGGAAAGAUAAAGCACUAUUUAAGUAGAGCCCAGUGAGUGCGUGGAAAGCAGGAGAAGAGAGGAGUACCUCCUGGGUAUGUGGCCCCGUCCUUAAAAGAUGGUAGAAGAGAGAACGUGUGGAAGCAUCACAUGGUAUUAAGUCCAAACACCAAAGCCACUAGCCAUGGCCAUGAGGAAAUCAUUUGCAAGAUAGGUAAGAGUCGGGGGUGAUCAAGGCAGAGUGCAUCUCCACAGCCUGUAUGGAAGGGGCUGUGCUGCCCUCGCGCCACAGGAAAGGUUGGGGGUGUUCAUCCAGGGGGAACCAGGGGUGGUGAGUGCACUCAACAUGGGGGACGGUGCAGUGCCCGGUCCUUCUCUGAUCAAGGUCAGGGAAUGCAACGGUGCAGUUUGGAAAGAGAGAAGAUCAGGAAGUGAAGAAGCCCCGUGAGCAGCGAGCUGGGACGGGGCUCGUGCCCUGGCCUCGUCGCUGGCUAACCCACUAAGUGGCGUUCAGCCAGUCUCUGCGGUCCGGUAUCUCACACUCACAGGAAAGGCAGCCUUUGACCUGGGAGAAGCUGCGGAGGCCUCCCAUGCUGAAUUACCCACCAGCAAGGAAGGGGGUGUCUGCUGGUUCUCAGCUCCAUUUCAUCCUUAGCCUGCCCCCUCUCACCUCUCCAGACGGGGCCAUUCAUCAGAUGAUGGGGCCGGGGGUUGGUAAAAGUACCAUCCACGGCCCUUUCUGUGGUCACAAAAUUGAGCUCAGCAUGCAUCACACGGCCUCUCUCUCCCUCAUCAAAACAGAAAGGAGGCUGACAGGCUGGCGCCACAGGCUGCAUCUCACUAAAUGAGACUGACCAGAGAUCGCGGUGGAGGCCUUGACUAGGGUUUAAAAUGCAGCCUGCACGGCUCGGAGCGAUGGAGGAGGGGCUCAGAGCGGCCUGCGCAGACGAGCUGUGGGGCUUUCAGAGGCCAGGGUGACUCAGUCAGGACAAAAUGGAUGGGUACCCUUCCGCUGAGCAGAUAUCAGUUUUCACAGUGUGCUUAGCCC